GAAGCCGGAAUUGCUAGUAAUGGCAGGUCAGCAUACUGCCGUGAAUACGUUCCCGGGCCUUGUACACACCGCCCGUCACACCAUGAGAGUUGGGAAUACCCGAAGCCUGUGAGCUAACUUUUAGAGGCAGCAGUCGAAGGUAGAAUCAAUGAUUGGGGUGAAGUCGUAACAAGGUAAC
rnacentral:rRNA from 1 species